rnacentral:rRNA from 1 species
GACAGAGGUCCCGAGCGUUAGGCGGAAUCACUGGGCUUAAAGCGUGUGUAGGCGGAUUUGUAAGUACCUUGUGAAAUCCCACGGCUUAACCGUGGAACUGCUUGGUAUACUGCUUAUCUUGAGCCACUUAGGGGCAACCGGAACGAAACGGUGGAGCGGUGAAAUGCGUAGAUAUCGUUUGGAACGCAAUGGUGAAAACAGGUUGCUGGGAGUGAUGGCUGACGCUGAGACACGAAAGCCAGGGGAGCGAACGGG